UGGGGAAUAUUGCACAAUGGGCGCAAGCCUGAUGCAGCCAUGCCGCGUGUAUGAAGAAGGCCUUCGGGUUGUAAAGUACUUUCAGCGGGGAGGAAGGGAGUAAAGUUAAUACCUUUGCUCAUUGACGUACCCGCAGAAGAAACACCCGCUAACCUCGUGCCAGCAGCCGCGGUAAUACGGAGGGUGCAAGCGUUAAACGGAAUUACUGGGCGUAAAGCGCACGCAGGCGGUUUGUUAAGUCAGAUGUGAAAGCCCCGGGCUAAACCUGAGAACUGCAACUGAUACUGGCAAACGUGAGUCUCGUAGAGGGGGGUAGAAUUCCAGGUGUAGCGGUGAAAUGCGUAGAGAUCUGGAGGAAUACCGGUGGCGAAGGCGGCCCCCUGGACGAAGACUGACGCUCAGGUGCGAAAGCGUGGGGAGCAAACAGG
rnacentral:rRNA from 1 species